UAGGGAAUAUUGCACAAUAGGCGGAAGCCUGAUGCAGCAACGCCGCGUGAGUGAAGAAGGCCUUCGGGUCGUAAAACUCUUUUCAAGAGGAAGAGGAAGGACGGUACUCUUGGAAUAAGCCUCGGCUAACUACGUGCCAGCAGCCGCGGUAACACGUAGGAGGCGAGCGUUAUUCGGAUUUACUGGGCGUAAAGCGCGUGCAGGCGGCUAUACAAGUUGGAUGUGAAAGCUCCCGGCUUAACUGGGAGAGGACGUUCAAAACUGAAUAGCUAGAGUAUGAGAGAGGAAAAUGGAAUUCCGGGUGUAGUGGUGAAAUGCGUAGAUAUCCGGAGGAACACCAGUGGCGAAGGCGAUUUCUGGCUCAAGACUGACGCUCAGACGCGAAAGCUAGGGUAGCAAACG
rnacentral:rRNA from 1 species